rnacentral:rRNA from 1 species
CCUACGUGAGGCAGCAGUGGGGAAUAUUGGACAAUGGGGAGAACCCUGAUCCAGCGACGCCGCGUGAGUGAAGAAGUAUUUCGGUAUGUAAAGCUCUAUCAGCAGGGAAGAAAGAAAUGACGGUACCUGACUAAGAAGCCCCGGCUAACUACGUGCCAGCAGCCGCGGUAAUACGUAGGGGGCAAGCGUUAUCCGGAUUUACUGGGUGUAAAGGGAGCGUAGACGGCGAUGCAAGUCUGAAGUGAAAGGCGGGGGCCCAACCCCCGGACUGCUUUGGAAACUGUAUGGCUGGAGUGCAGGAGAGGUAAGUGGAAUUCCUAGGGUAGCGGUGAAAUGCGUAGAUAUUAGGAGGAACACCAGUGGCGAAGGCGGCUUACUGGACUGUAACGGACGUUGAGGCUCGAAAGCGUGGGGAGCAAACAGGAUUAGAUACCCGAGUAGUC